rnacentral:rRNA from 1 species
UACGGGAGGCAGCAGUGGGGAAUUUUGGACAAUGGGCGCAAGCCUGAUCCAGCAAUGCCGCGUGCAGGAUGAAGGCCUUCGGGUUGUAAACUGCUUUUGUACGGAACGAAACGGUCUACUCUAAUACAGUGGGCUAAUGACGGUACCGUAAGAAUAAGCACCGGCUAACUACGUGCCAGCAGCCGCGGUAAUACGUAGGGUGCGAGCGUUAAUCGGAAUUACUGGGCGCAAAGCGUGCGCAGGCGGUUAUAUAAGACAGAUGUGAAAUCCCCGGGCUCAACCUGGGACCUGCAUUUGUGACUGUAUAGCUAGAGUACGGUAGAGGGGGAUGGAAUUCCGCGUGUAGCAGUGAAAUGCGUAGAUAUGCGGAGGAACACCGAUGGCGAAGGCAAUCCCCUGGACCUGUACUGACGCUCAUGCACGAAAGCGUGGGGAGCAAACAGGAUAGAUACCCUGGUAGUCCACGCCCUAAACGAUGUCAACUGGUUGU